UGUUUGAUGUUCUAACGUGGACCCGUGAUCCGGGUUGCGGACAGUGUCUGGUGGGUAGUUUGACUGGGGCGGUCUCCUCCUAAAGAGUAACGGAGGAGCACGAAGGUUGGCUAAUCCUGGUCGGACAUCAGGAGGUUAGUGCAAUGGCAUAAGCCAGCUUGACUGCGAGCGUGACGGCGCGAGCAGGUGCGAAAGCAGGUCAUAGUGAUCCGGUGGUUCUGAAUGGAAGGGCCAUCGCUCAACGGAUAAAAGGUACUCCGGGGAUAACAGGCUGAUACCGCCCAAGAGUUCAUAUCGACGGCGGUGUUUGGCACCUCGAUGUCGGCUCAUCACAUCCUGGGGCUGAAGUAGGUCCCAAGGGUAUGGCUGUUCGCCAUUUAAAGUGGUACGCGAGCUGGGUUUAGAACGUCGUGAGACAGUUCGGUCCCUAUCUGCCGUGGGCGCUGGAGAACUGAGGGGGGCUGCUCCUAGUACGAGAGGACCGGAGUGGACGCAUCACUGGUGUUCGGGUUGUCAUGCCAAUGGCACUGCCCGGUAGCUAAAUGCGGAAGAGAUAAGUGCUGAAAGCAUCUAAGCACGAAACUUGCCCCGAGAUGAGUUCUCCCUGAGACUUUAAGUCUCCUGAAGGAACGUUGAAGACGACGACGUUGAUAGGCCGGGUGUGUAAGCGCAGCGAUGCGUUGAGCUAACCGGUACUAAUGAACCGUGAGGCUUAACCUU
rnacentral:rRNA from 2 species